CUGUAGCUCAGUGGUAGAGCACCUGCUUUGCAUGCAGAAGGUCCCAGGUUGAAUUCCUGACAACUGGU